UAGGGAAUCUUCGGCAAUGGACGAAAGUCUGACCGAGCAACGCCGCGUGAGUGAAGAAGGUUCUCGGAUCGUAAAACUCUGUUGUUAGAGAAGAACAAGGACGUUAGUAACUGAACGUCCCCUGACGGUAUCUAACCAGAAAGCCACGGCUAACUACGUGCCAGCAGCCGCGGUAAUACGUAGGUGGCAAGCGUUGUCCGGAUUUAUUGGGCGUAAAGCGAGCGCAGGCGGUUUCUUAAGUCUGAUGUGAAAGCCCCCGGCUCAAGCGGGGAGGGUCAUUGGAAACUGGGAGACUUGAGUGCAGAAGAGGGGAGUGGAAUUCCAUGUGUAGCGGUGAAAUGCGUAGAUAUAUGGAGGAACACCAGUGGCGAAGGCGGCUCUCUGGUCUGUAACUGGCGCUGAGGCUCGAAAGCGUGGGGAGCAAACAGG
rnacentral:rRNA from 1 species